rnacentral:lncRNA from 1 species
GGAGGAGCAGAAAGAAGGCCAGAGUGGCUGGAGAUCGUAAUGGGGAGAGAGUUACAAGAUGAGAGACCAGCACCAGCUGAUGCGGCCAGGCCAGGUCCCAGAAGUGACUGUGUCAGGAUGGAGGGUGGCCCUGGGCAUCCUGCCAUUGAAAGCUGAUUGGAGCUGGACCAGCUUAGGCCAGUCUAGAGCUGAGGAGUAUCAUCAAGAGCAGGACCCUCUGGAAUGUGGCUGUUUGUGGAAAGAGUCAAAGCCAUCGCGAUCUCCCCACUGGAAGACGUAACAGCCUCCCCACUGGCCUCCUGGCGUCCACGCCUGCCUCCCUCCCAUCCAUUUCCCCUGGAGAAGCCAGAGCCGUCUUUAAAAAAUAGAAAGGUCACGCCUAGUAUGUGCCAGGCGCUGUUCUGGUGCUGGGGCUCCAGCCGUGCAAGCUACACUUGCGUCACUCCAGCAGGACAAAAAUUAAAAUACCAAGUGUGGUAAUGGGGGUAGGACAACGGGAGUGGUCUGCCCCAGGGGCCGG